rnacentral:rRNA from 1 species
AACGCUAGCUACAGGCUUAACACAUGCAAGUCGAGGGGAAACGACAUCGAAAGCUUGCUUUUGAUGGGCGUCGACCGGCGCACGGGUGAGUAACGCGUAUCCAACCUGCCCACCACUUGGGGAUAACCUUGCGAAAGUAAGACUAAUACCCAAUGAUAUCUCUAGAAGGCAUCUGAAAGAGAUUAAAGAUUUAUCGGUGAUGGAUGGGGAUGCGUCUGAUUAGCUUGUUGGCGGGGUAACGGCCCACCAAGGCAACGAUCAGUAGGGGUUCUGAGAGGAAGGUCCCCCACAUUGGAACUGAGACACGGUCCAAACUCCUACGGGAGGCAGCAGUGAGGAAUAUUGGUCAAUGGGCGAGAGCCUGAACCAGCCAAGUAGCGUGCAGGAAGGCGGCCCUAUGGGUUGUAAACUGCUUUUAUAAGGGAAUAAAGUGAGAGUCGUGACUCUUUUUGCAUGUACCUUAUGAAUAAGGACCGGCUAAUUCCGUGCCAGCAGCCGCGGUAAUACGGAAGGUUCGGGCGUUAUCCGGAUUUAUUGGGUUUAAAGGGAGCGUAGGCCGGAGAUUAAGCGUGUUGUGAAAUGUAGACGCUCAACGUCUGCACUGCAGCGCGAACUGGUUUCCUUGAGUACGCACAAAGUGGGCGGAAUUCGUGGUGUAGCGGUGAAAUGCUUAGAUAUCACGAAGAACUCCGAUUG